rnacentral:rRNA from 1 species
UACCGGAUAGGUCACUUCGGCUGGAAGGCGUUGUGGUUGAAACUUCCGGGGCUUUUGGAUGGGUCUGCGGCUGAUUAGGUUGUUGCCGGUGUAAUGUACCGUCAAGCCUGUAAUCAGUACGGGUUGUGGGAGCAAGAGCCCGGAGAUGGAUUCUGAGACACGAAUCCAGGCCCUACGGGGCGCAGCAGGCGCGAAAACUCUACAAUGCAGGCAACUGCGAUAGGGGGACAUCGAGUGAUCCUCAUAUUGGGGGUCUGUCCACCCGCCUAAAAAGCGGGUGUUAGCAAGGGCCGGGCAAGACCGGUGCCAGCCGCCGCGGUAAUACCGGCGGCUCGAGUGGUGGCCGAUAUUAUUGAGUCUAAAGGGUCCGUAGCCGGCUUUGCAAGUCUCUCGGGAAAUCCAGCGGCUUAACCGUUGGGCUGUCGGGGGGUACUACAUUGCUUGGGACUGGGAGAGGUAGGAG